rnacentral:lncRNA from 1 species
AACUUCUCAUAUGAUUCAAUCAUAUAAUACUCCAAUUACAUAAUCAAUAACUCAUAAAUCAAUCUCUGAUUUAUUCCACAGACUCUUUUCUCAAUAUUCAAAAACUAUCCAUUACUCUUCAAUAACAAAGAAAACAAAGAAACAAAGAGGUAGCAUCAAGCUUAAUCCCAACUCAUGACUAUCACAGUCUGGCACCCCAACAAACUUCUACAACUUCUAUAUAAUUUCUAUUGAUUUUUAGAUCCUAACUGUAAUCUUGUAAUUAACCGCUUUUAAUAACUAAAUCAACCAUCUGUCCUCCUAAACUGACUAUUCUAUAGAAUAUUAAUCUAUUUUAGCAAUAUCUUAUAAAAAUGAACUAAUAUGUAUUCUACAAUAUACAAAAUAUAAAAUAUAAUA